UUUUUUUUUUUUUUUUUUUUUGCUCUUCUCCAUUUUAGUUUCCUUUUAAGGUUUAAAAAAGCCAUGGCAUUCCGUAGGUAGUCACAGUUGCCUAAGGGCUUUAAGCAAGCUUCCAUCCGAGGGGCCCGGCGUGUUGCCUUCGGGCUUCGCGCUAACAGGUGGAUUUGUUCUUUGGAACCGUAACGCCCAGAGCUGGGGGACGCUGCCGAGCGAGGGAUGGCUUCCGGGGAGCAGCGGGGCAGGCCGCGGUUGUCACUUCAUUUGGCAAUUUCCUCCCCCCCUCCCCCCACCCCCCCCCACCGCCCAGCCCCGCCCGCGCAGAAACCGGAGCGAAACAGCUGCGGAUCUCCCUCUCCUCCCCAGGCUCCGGGCAACCUAGGCGAGGGGCGCCUAAGAUGGAGAGGAGGUUCGACCGUCUUCCCGGAGCAGAUAGGACCCGCGCGCCAGCCAAUCAGAGCGCGGCUCGGCCGCUCCCCGCCUCAGCCGCAGCCGCAGCCGCAGCCUCCGGGCAAGUGAAGUUCCAGCAACUCGCCCGCCCGAAGAGUCCGAGUCUUUCUUGUGCCCACAGCCCCGCGGAGGCAGAGAGCGCCAUCCAAACUUUAUUAAUCUCUCCCCGUUCUUUCUCCCUCAGUCCAGUGCAUCUCAAAGGUCAGCCCUCUUCUUUUAAAAGACUGAUAUUAUUAAUUCACUGACAAUCCCUCCACCAUUCUUUUUUUUCUCUCUUGCAGGAAAAAGAAGGGGGAGAAAUGGUGAAAAGAGCUUUUUUUUUUUUUUAAUCCCCCCCCCGCCUUUUUUUGUCCUUCAGUGGGAGCGUUUAGACAGUCGAGGAGGUUUUGUCCGGGAACAAAACGCAGGGUUGGGAGGUUUUGUGAGAGUGUUGUUUGUUGAAGUGGAGCUAAGAAAAAGCGGCGGCUUUCUCCUCAUUGUGAAGAAACCAAUCAGUGGUAUUUGGAAAACUGUUAGCAUUGUGCACUUCUUCUGUGUCCAUUGUGAGGCGUUUCUUUUCACAAGGUUUUUUUUUCAGCCGAUCCAGCUGGCCGGAAUGAAUAGCGGUGCAAUGUGUACACGCUUUGUCCCUCCGGCCUUCAAGUAGCCCCCAUUGAAUAGACUAAGUUGACACUGCGUGACAGUGAAACAACAUAAUAAAAAAUACAUGAGCCCCUGAAUAGGAGCAGGCGCAUAAAUAAAUAAAAUGGGUGACCAAAACUGGAUAAACUGAAUGACAAAACGGUGAAAGGGGAACAAAAAGAUAUUUAACACGCUAGAUUAGCAUUAGAAUGCGAUCUACAAGGCAGAACAAUUGAUGAAUAGGUUUACCGGCCAAGAAAGAAAUGGACUAAAUGCCCUUUGAAUAGAUAUGCUUUUUGCAAGGGCUUUGAAUAGAUAUGCUUUUUGCAAGGGCUGAAUGGGAAAAGGUAAAGAUGAAGCUAUGCAAAUGAGCGGGGGAACUUUUUAUAUAUAUUCUUUAAACACACACACACACACUGCGGGAGGAGAGCACUGCCUCCGGGUGUUUAUAGAAGCAAUAAUUGCCAUUAUUAGCAUUGUCUGCAACAGAUAGAAAUUGAACAGGUUGGGAUAAUAUAGGGUAGCAGUAAUUAUUCUUCUAAUUAAUGGUCCUUUGCUACUUGAAAAAAGAAAAAAGGAAAGGAGAAGUAAAAGUUAUGCAGAAGUUAUGUUUCCUUGUGUCCCUUUGCCCAGUGUUGGAAUCCGUGGAGCAGCAAGUCUGGCGAUUCCAAGAUGCAUGCUGAUUUUAGAACAUUCCAGAGAGCCAAUCCUUAGACUCUGGGUUUGGGACCUGGUUUCCAUUUAUGCUGCGUUUUCGAGAGUCUAAUACAGUGUCUGGUACAUGAUAGGUACUGAAUGAAUAGUUGUGGAUUGAAUGAAUAUAAAUUUAAUGUUGGAAUCCUGGCCUCCUGUGGAUGUGGUGGGGGGGAGAAUGACCAUUGACGGCUUUUGCCUUUCACCGCCCCCCCCCGCCCCGGGGUGCAGUCCCGGAGGGAAGGUCGCCACCACCUUCCUUCUUGAGGAUUUUGUUUUCAGCCUACGUGGGCCGCUGGAGAAGAUGCGGAAGAUCAAACAAGCUGACGAGCGACUACUGCCCCCCUAUUCCAUCACUCUCACCCCCAAAUCUACCCCAAAGCCAGAGCUUGUGAGGAGCCGGUCCUGGCUGCCUAGUAACAUUGUAUGCACCCCCUCAGAGAAUUAGAAUAUGCUUAAAGCUUAGCUCUUUCUCUAGGGUUUCUCCCUUUCCCCCUCCCGCCCUCCCCCCGCCCAAGCCUUUGAUUGAACCCCUCGCCACAGGGAACCUCCUGGCUGAACUGCCGGCGGAGGCAGGACGCGAACCUGGAGAGAUCUGGAUUGUCCUCAGGUUCCCUGCGCUGCCCUGGAAGCGGGCAUCGGUAACCUUGUCAACGGUUUUCUUUUCGAUGGUUGACCUCCAGGCCUGCCGAGCUGCUGGGCCACCCAGCCAUCGAACUUUCCAGCGGCUUUCAGCUCUGCCCUAACCUAAAUGAAUAAUGCCAAUUCUAGACGGCCCAGCUGACAAAUCCCUGCGAACGCGCAGAGGCUCAGAGGGCUCUCUGAGCAGCAGCUCUCCCGACCUCCCCGACGGCGGGCGGGAAGCCGGGUUUUUAGAAGCAGUGGCAACUGCUUCGGAAUUGUUAUGACUAAGGGGCGGGGGGGGGGCGGGGGGGGAGAUCUCAAACUCCAAAAGCAGCGUUCUCCCCCCUCCCCGCCCUUCUUCUUUUUAAAGAAGCAUUUGAUCCUUACCCAGAGACCGGGGGCGCGCGAAAGCCUCUCUUGUUUUAAAAUGUAACCGGAGCCUCCGCGGUUUCAGCUUCGCUUAAAACACGCAAAGUCCUAGAAACUGACAAAUCUGAAAAACUUGCGAAGAGCUCUAUACGGAUAAACCCGUCGGGAGUCACUUUGAGAUGAUAGAACUGACAGCGAUUCAGGGGGAUGGGCAUUUGUGGGGAGGCAGCGACUGGUUGGAUUGGGUUUCCAGGUUCUAGGUGGCCACUGGGCCUUUGGCAACCACCUGGGCACGGAGAAGUGGUACCCACCCGGCAACGAAGCUCAGCGCCUUGGUCUUAGGGAUGUCUCCGCACUCUCCACCCCGGCCCUUCACCGAACACUUUGUCAGGUAGACUGCACCCCCCUUGCCUCUGCAGCCCCAUCAUUCACACUUGACUGGAGGAAAUAAAAUCGGCUUUGGCUU
rnacentral:lncRNA from 1 species